GACAGAGGGUGCAAACGUUGCUCGGAAUCACUGGGCGUAAAGGGCGUGUAGGCGGGCAGGUAAGUCGGGCGUGAAAUCCCUGAGCUCAACUCAGGAACUGCACUCGAAACUACUUUUCUUGAGUACCGGAGAGGAAAGCGGAAUACCUGGUGUAGAGGUGAAAUUCGUAGAUAUCAGGUGGAACACCAGUGGCGAAGGCGGCUUUCUGGACGGUAACUGACGCUGAGACGCGAAAGCGUGGGGAGCAAACAGG
rnacentral:rRNA from 1 species